AAAUUGGAAACCUACUCCUUUUAAUGCCAGUCGACAUCAACAGCUGCCCUCUUAAUGUCUUGUCCUAUCAUCUGAACUGUCACAGCUGUUUGAAAUAGCAGAGUGAUCAAAUCUUCUUAAAUAUUUUUUCUUCUGCUACAAGUUUUCAGAAAAAGUCGUUUCUUAUUCUUCAAUCUGGAGCUCUCGACUUUAGCCUCUCCACUUCUCUUUGAACCCAGCUUGAGACGCCUCCCUCCAGGUAAAUGAUUUUCAUUUCUUUCAAUGCUUUUCUAACGGUAAAGUGAGCAAAGAGAUUUUCUGAUUUUGGGAUGAAAAGAAACCCUAAGUCUUGAAAGUGUAUUUUUAAGAGUUGGAUAUCUCUGAUGAGUGCUCCAAUGACCGAUCUAUCAUAAUCUACACUUUGACUUCUUGAUAACUGUUUUAAAAUCACCCAGAAUCAUGCAUGCAUUAAAACCCAUGGAACUACCUAAUCUUAUUGCAUCUAGUCCUGCAAAAGCCUCCGCCGCAAACGGUGAUGCAACGUCAAAGUGAAGUGCCGAUUUAGAAGCCAAGAUUUCCCCAUCCAUCUCACGUACAAUCAAACCUGAAACCUAUCUGAAAAGCUUUUGGUAGAUGGCUGGACACAUUCUUUUUUCAUCAUGUUUGAGAUCUCUAUCAGAAUCAAAGCUAAGUAUUUUCUCAUCUAAACCUUUCAACUCCGAAACGUAACUAAUUAUGUGAUUGGAAAUAUCUGAACUUGUUGUGUUUCAAUUUUCAUAAAGGAGCUUAUUUCUACUUGUCCAGAUGAUCCAUAAUCCACAGCAGAAAAGACGACACUAUUCACUUGUUCCCUGGUUGAAAACCUAAGUAAUCCAUUCCCAAAUUUCUUGAUUGUUACAAUUAAGCACCCAAGAAAAUUGUAAAUUUCUCCAUACUUCCUCCGUUGUAGAACAUUGUAGAAAAAUGUGAAUACUGUCUUCUUCAUUCCGAUGACACCUGAGGCAUUGAGUCUCCACAGCAACUCGUUUUAUCUUAAGAUUAGCAAGAGUAGGGAUGUAGUUCCAAGAAAUUUUCCAGACUGUAAUUUUGAGUUUUGAAGGAACAUGUAGGUUCCAUAGUUUUCUGUAGAAAGUUUUAAUCUUGGCCUAUAAAUUAUUAUUACUAGGAACUAGUGUAGCCCUUUGUAAUAGUUUGUAGGCACUUUUAAUGGAGAAAUUACCGGAUGGUUCCCCUCCCCAUACUUGGAAAUCGUCGUGCACAGCCCUUGCCAAUGGAAUCUGCAUGAUUUUUUUAACAAUCUCUAUGUGAAAGGUAUUAACCAAUAACUCUGUUUUCCAUGAUCUACUCUCUUUAUCAAUCAAAUCUAAAACAAACUCAACAUUAACAUUGCUUCUUUGAUUCUGCAAUUUAUCUUCCUGAACAUUCGGUAUCCAAAUGUCAGACUAGAUAGAAAUGUGAUCCCCCUUCCCGACCCUCCAGUACAAUCCUUUCUCCAAAAGUCCUUUAGAUGCCCACACACUUUUCCAGGUAAAUGAAGGUGAGUUUCCUAAUUGAGCUUUUAAAAAAUUGGAGGACAGAUAAUAUUUUGCUUUUAAAACUCGAGCUAACAAGGAACAAGGAUAAUUAAUCAAAUGCCAACCCUGUUUAGCUAGUAAUGCAACGGUAAAUUUAUCAAGUUUUCGAAAGCCAAGACCUCCUUCAUCUUUUAAUGCACACAUAUCCUUCCAAGCACACCAAUGAAAGCCUUUUUUACCUCGAUUUUUCUGCCACCAAAAUUUUGCUAUUAUACUUUCUAAUUUAGAACAAAGGAUUUUUGGAAGUAAAAAAAUGCCAUUGAGUAAGUUGGAAUGGAUUGGAGAAUUGCCUUAAUAAAAACCUCAUUUCCUCCUUGCGAAAGAUGUUUUAUACUCUAAUUAUCAAUUCGUUGUAGUAAUCUAUCCUUUAGGCUUUGAAAAGACGUUUUCUUCUUUCUCCCUACUAAAUUAGGUAAACCCAGAUUUCUCUGAAUUGUUUGAGCUGCGUACUCCGAGUACCCUAGUAACAACUCUUUUCUCUCCCUCUUGCGUAUUGGAACUGAAGAAUAUAGUCGAUUUAGCAUAAUUAACACUCUGACCAGAACAUUUCUCAUACUCAUGUAGAAUCUGUUUCAGAUAAACUGCUCCUCUUUCAGUGGCCUCUCCAAACAAAAUAGUCGUCUGCAAAUAAUAAAUGUGAGAUCUGUGGUCCACUUCUGCUCGCCUUCACCCCUCUAUUAAUCUUUUUUUUCAUUGCUGUCCUUAUAAGGCUAGAUAAUCCUUCCCCACAAAAUAGAAACAAAAAAGGACUUAAAGGAUCGUCCUGUCUAAGACCUCUAGAAGGGGUAAAGUACUGGCCAGUAAAACCAUUAAAAACUACGGAGUAUGUUACGCACUUCAUUAACGAAUCCACCCAAUCUGAAUCAAAACCCAUUUUCUUCAUCACUCCUACAAACUUCCACUCAACCUUGUCGUAUGCUUUACUCAUAUCUAGUUUAACUGCCAUAAGCCCUUUCUUCGCCACCCUUUUUUGCUUUAAAGUAUGAAGUAGUUCAUAAUCUAAUAAAACAUCCCAGGCAUGAAUGCACUCUAUGCCAAAUCGAUACAUUUGUCCAUAAUUGAUCGGAGCCAAUUAGCAAUGACUUUGGCUAUCAAUUUAUAUAGCACAUUGCAUAAACUGAUGGGUCUAAAUUGAGUGAUACUUAAAGGAUUUGAAAUUUUUGAAAUUAGCACAAUAUUAGUCUUAUUUAUUACGUUUAGAUUCGUACCAUUAUUUAGAAGAUUAAGGUAGAAUGAUGUAGCAUCUUCUCCAAUGAUUGGCCAACACAUUUGAUAAAAGAGUGCCGAAAAUCCAUCCUCUCCAGGUGCUUUUGUCGGACCCAUUUCUUUCAAUGCCUCCUAUAUCUCCUCUUUUGUAAAUCUCUCCUUAAGUUUAGAAUUAUCUUCAUAAAAAAUACAUUGGUCAAUACCCGAUAAAAUAUGAUAAUAAUUUCCUCUUUUUCCAGCUGAAAACAUAUUUUGAAAAUACGUUCUGGCAACCUCUUCCAUUUCUUCGAUUUUAUCCGUCUCCCCGCCCUCAUCAGAUUGUAAUUUACGAAUAAAGUUCCUCUUUCGUCUCUAUGUCGCUUGUUUAUGGAAAAAAACAGUAUUUCUAUCACCUAAUUUGAGCCAAUUAACUUGCGCCCUCUAUUCCUAAUAACGUUCAUUUUUCUCAAUCUCAAAAUUAAGUUCUACCUUUUUGUCAAUAAGCUCUGCAAGAUUUUCAUCAAUUUUAUCAUCUUACAGUAAUUUUAUUAAUUUUGAUGUUAACAGCUCCUUUACUUUCCUGCAGUAAUGAAUUUUAUUAGCCCAUUCUUGUAACCCUCUUUUGACACAUUCCAGCUUGUUCAAAAAAUUCCCUAUUGACUUUUCCAAAUUUUCCGAACCUCUCCAAAAAAUGUUUCUUCCAUGACCCACUAUGCUUCGAAUUUAAAACUUCUAUUAAAGCGACCUUUUUCUUAUCGUUUUGUAGUAAGGAGUAAUGGAAAAUGAUCAGAAAAAGAAUGAGGUAAGUGCUAAAUUUGAGACUCUGGAAAUAGAGACAACCAACCAUCAGUGGCCACACCCCUAUCAAGACGUUCUUGAAUAUUUGUCUCUGGUAGAUUUCCUUUUUCCUACGUGAACCAAUUCCUACAAAACCUCACAUCCACUAAAUUGCAAUCUUCUAACACUUUUCGAAAAGCUUCCAUUCUACCCUCCUCACGAAUUAAACCACCCUUUUUUUCAAAUCCAUAGAGAAUUUCAUUGAAGUCCCUGCAAACCAUCCAUGGCAUAUCCCCAUCAGUACGUAAUUGUCUUAAAAGAUUCCACGCUUCAUCCCUAUCUUGUUGAUAAGGAGAACCGUAAAAACCAGUAAAUCUCCACUUAUAACCUUCAUCUAUUUCCUCAAUGACCACGUCAAUAUGCCUUUUCGAAAAACUUUGGAGCAAGACAUUUGUAUCCCCAUUCCAUGCCAAACAUAAACCUCCUCUAGAUCCCAUUGCUUCUACAUCAAUACCAUUGAUAAAACCACAACUUCUUCUGACUCUUUUCAUAUGACUUUUAUCAAUUUUUGUCUCCAUAAAGAAGACUAUUUGAGGAUUAUGUACCUUCAGCGUAUGCCAAAGUCUUCGAACUGUCUGUGAGUCCCCCAAACCAUGGACAUUCCAACUCAGGAUUUUCAUUGCGUUCGAUCGGCUUGCUUGUUGGCAGCCGCUGAUAAUAAAUUAUUUGUUUCCACCUUUCUCCUAUUCCUUCCCUCAACUAUGUUAAUCUCUUCCCAGAUUAUAGAAUAUUCAAUCUCUUUUCUAGACCUCUUUUUUCCUUCCUCUCCAAUUAGCACUCCAUCUUCCAGAUCGUGUUCCAUGGUAGUAUGGAAAAGUUCUGCAUUCACGUUUCCCCUUCCUUGACAUGAGUUCGACCUUCCUCCCUCCAAAUUAAUACCCAAUAUUGGAUCUAUAUUACUCCUGUUUUCCAUAUUUUUUCCACAAACCCCCAAAUUAUUCCCUUAAACAUGACUUUUCCCACAGUUUGCAUCCCAUACAUCAUUUCCUUCCUCUAGUAACCAAACACUAUUCAUGGCUACAGCUCUCCAAGAUUGAGCAUGCAGAUAGAUCCCACCCUAAUACUGCGCAUUCCACUCCUAUUGCCAUUUUUUCUUCACAAAAAGAGUCACUAUAACCCAAGCAACCACAAUAAAAACAGAAAAGAGACAACCUUUCAUAUUUAAAUUGGACAUAUGAGCAAAUUCCAUGAAACAUAAGCUGCUUUUUCCUCUUCAAAGGUCAUUGAAUAUCAAUCUGGACUCUUAUCCUUGUAUAAUUACGAUUUUCUUUUCCCAAAUUAGAGCCAUCAUACUCAAUAAAUUUUCCAAUAAAAUUACCCAACUGUACUGCCAGAUUUUUAGAAAAGAAACCAAUUGGGAUGUUAUGAAUCUGAACCCAAAAGGGUGUAAAAAUUAAAGGAACUCUCAAUGGAUCCUCUCCCCACUUAAGUUUGUAUAUCACCAAUAAAUGAUUAUUAAAAGUCCAAGGUGAACCCUUUAAAACCCUCUCCAUGUCCAAAAUAUGAAAAAAUUGAAAUAAGUACAUUUUUUCUCCUAGAUCUCGAAUUUGAACACCCCGAACAGGAUGCCAUAGAUUAGCCGUUGUGCUUUUUAUGGCUGGGAAGUGAAUAAUACUGGCUGUGAGAAAACACCCCACUAAACAAAACGUUUCCACCUCCCUCUCUGAGUUUGACUCGACUUGAACUUGUAGAAUCUCAUCUUCCUCAUUAAUUGAUAAACCAGCAAAUUCUGACUCCAUGAGUAAGAUCAAUGCAUAAACGAGAAUUCCAAAAUUAUUAAAAGAGAUCAAAGGAAUUUUUCUAAAUCGCCGUCAAAGGAACACAAACAAAUUUUUUUCAAAAAGAACAAUAAAACCUAGCCAGAAAGAGCAGACAGAGAUGUGCUAAGGUAGCAGACCUUAGCUAUAAGUCAAUUUCUUAAACACCUCUUUUCCUUUUUUUUUUUAAUGGAAGAUAAAUGAUAAAUGUUCAGUUUUGAUUCCUUUAUUAUAAUCAAAUUUAUAGUUUAAUGUUUUUAUUUUUAUUUGACAUAAUAAUUUAGAUUUGAAUUUUUACAAUGAUAUUAAUUAGUUCAAAUAGUUAUUAUGUUUCAAUAUUCGGUUUAAAUACACGUAAAUUAUUCUUAAAAACUUUUAUCUAUCACAAAAAAAAACUAUCUCGAUAUGAUAAGUCAAAUUAUAUAAAAAUGGUCAAAUUUUAGUUUUAAUCCUUAUAUUACCUUUAAAAUUUAAUCUAUAUACUGUAAUCUUUUUUAUAAUUUACAAUCUUAGCUUUUAUAAUUUAAGGCACUCCUUACGGGAUACAAAUCCAAGUCUCUUUCUCUCUUUUCUUUUUCACACUACAUAAUGGUUAAAUUUCAAUUAUUAUCCCUUUGUUUUUUUUUUAAAGAUUAUAUAGCAAUGGUCAAUUUUUAGUUUUUGUCCCUUUAUUAUGUUCAAAUUUGAUAUUUAAUCUUCAUAAUUCAAAUUUUGACAUAAUUUGAUACCUUAACUUUUAUAAUGUUAAUAGUUAGUCUAAAUACUUAUUCUAAUUAAAAAGCUUAUAUGAAUUUUAAGAAUUGUCAACAUUGUUAAAUUCUUUGUUAAAUUUAGGCUUUUUUUUACAUAUAUAAUAUAAAAAAUUCAAAAAUUCAAAAAUUCAAAAAUGAGAUACCAAUAAGAUUAAUUACGAAAAUGGUAUAGUUAGUGUUAAGGGUGGCGCAGAGGCGGCACCACCCCAAUAGUUCUAACACUAACAGGUUGCUUAAAAAAUAUUAUUAUAUUGAUUUUUGUUUCAAAAUACGAGUUUAGUAUAUAGAUUGUGGGUUAAAAUUUCAGUAGAAAUACGAAAAAGGAUCACUUGGGUGAAGCCUAUCUGAUAGGUGGCACUGAUGGGGUAAAGCCCAUCUGAUAAGCAACAUCACUGUCACACUGCCAUGCCAGAAGCGUCUCAGGCAGAGAAGGAGAUGGGACUUAAACAAAACAGAAAUUUUAUGGGACUUAACACAUCUGAAAAAAGAUGUAUUGGGGGUCCUUAUAACCAUGAGUAAGAGUGGAAAAUUUUAGAGUGAAAAACAAAGAAAGUAAAAUAGAAAAUAAGGAAGGUCAAAAAAAAUAAAAAGAAGAGAUUAGUAGAGAAAGUAGAAGAAAAAGGAAAGUAGAAUAUUAUUUAAUGUAUAAUAUUAAUGUGUUUUGGUAAUUAUUGCAACAACCUAAUUCAACUGAUAUUUUUUUUAAAUUGUAGAUAUCUAAAUAGAUUCUUUGAUUAACGGCAAUAAUCGCAUAUAAAAAAUAGUUAAUAUGAUGGUACUAAAAUUGUUAUUUGUUACUCACGAGUCCUCCUGUAAAAAGUGCAAAGUUAUUUAGGUUAUAUUAACUCACGGGUCCUCUAAUUGGUAAUUUAAUAUUGUCAGGGCUCCUACCGCGCAUUGAGGGGGUUGUGUGAAUAGUGUAGGUUAUCUGUCGGACGAAUGCCUCAUCCCAUACUUGGAGUUAGUCGGAUUCAGAUCAGCGGCAUUGAUCUGAACAAUUGAUUUGUGGUAUGACUUAAUAUUCGCUUUGGUCGAGCAGUGGCGCCCGGAGACCCACAUAUUUCAUUUGUCGUGUAGGGAGUGCACCAUUACACUGUAACUCAGGCUCCUAACCGAUGGGAGUGGGAUUACGGGUGUAAGUACGAUCUCUGAGCCGACUGUCCUUUGCUAUAACUUACUGGGACUCUCGCCUAGUAGUGUUGAGUCGAAAUUUACGGGUUUGGGGUUUUCAUAGAUGAAGGCCAAUUUUGAGCAUUUACCAAGUGCUGUGAUUGAGCAGGAGGUGAGUGUGCUGCUUGAGCAUACAUUAUGCACAUGAUUAAGGGUGUACUCAUACUGGAUGUAAACAACAAUAAGGUUCACUUGAUGUACUUGCCUCUAUUAACUUAUUUGUAUAACGUCAGUUCGUAUAGCUAGGGUUUGGCAAUACUAUCUAUGUUGUAUCACGAGCUUUGUCGGACGAUAAAGCCUUAAGCCAUGGACAUAUGAGGCUACCUUAUAUUGUUGUAGUAUUAGGCCCUUUACCAAAUGCCUUUCCUGGCAUCAGUUAGUCACUAAGCAUAUGCAUUUCCACUCGUGAAUAGAUGAUAAAAUUUAAGCAUUAUCACAAUUAUUUGACAUUUUUUAUGUAAAUUUGUUCUGACAAGUUUUUUUUUCGUUGAUAGAGUGGAAUCUGGAUAUCGAGAGGUCAAACAUGGUUCCGAUAUAGCGUCAAAUAAUUGAGACAUGUCAGGAAGAAGGUAAAUUAUUCAUGACAUGUAAUUACUUGAUUUAUCUUAUUUGACCCGUGCUACAAUAACCAUGUUAUUAAUUGUUUAGUUUAUCGAGAUGCCCUAUUCCUUCCCAGACAUUGCAACUGUUAUUCCUGCAUUUGCUUACAUCCACUCACACCUACGAUGCAUUAACGCACCCAUUAUCAAUUUCCAGACAGUGGAAUAGUAUCAUGGGAAUCGAGUAAUGUGGCAGUUCAGGUGUAUACAGUACAUCCCAGCACCGCUAGUGAUAGUAGGGAAGAUCCAUAAAAUUAAUAAGAGAGGGAAACAAAGAUUGAAUUGGGCAGUAGAGCAUCAACAAUAUAUUACAGUGUGGAACAAUCGAGUGGGCUUGAAAUCUCAAAUAAAUCUUUCUUUCAAUUUGGAGCCCUCAUUAGAGUAUAUCCAAUAGUACUUUAGGAUGGGGAAAAUGUACUUAUUUGGUAGGCAAUCGAUGUUAGUUUCCUCGCACAUGUCAUGACUUGAGCAACUGAUCGCGAGGUUUUGUGAUAGGUUUUAAAUAUUUAUAAUUACUCGUUCUUGAACUAACAUUAUCGCGAUGUAUGCAAUUGUACCUAUCAAACAGUAGUAUAGUUUUAGCAAGACCGGAUUAUCGAACCCAAAGGAACUAUAAGUACUAGUAAUGACUGUCUUUUUAUUAUCUAGCCUAAGAAUAAAGAGAUUUUAUUCUAAUUAACUAAUUAUCUAAACAAAGAACUCACAGAGAAAAGAUUUGGGGAAUUGUUUUUGGGAAAAUCGAUUGAAUGAAGACAAUACCUAAGGAAAAAUUCACCUAGACUUUACUUGUUAUUCUGGCUCCGGAUCGGACGAUUUAUUCAUUCAACUUGUUCCAUAGAGAUCCCUAAGUUAUGUUAUUAUCCCUAUUCAAGACUAAUAACGUCUAAUCCCUAGAUUGAAUAACCAAGACUUUUUUCUAAUUAACAUUCUAGGGUUGUAUUAACUCGAUAUAUGGAUUCCCUUAUUAGGUUUCACCCUAAUCCGGUAAAAUUUUGUCACCCUAUUUCUAGGCACGCAAUCAACUCCGCUUAAUUAUGACAAAAGUACUCUUAGACAUGGUCUAUUCCUCCUCUGAAUAAGAGCAUGUCUUGGAUCAGUAUCUUGGGAUAUCAAAACAAGAAUUAAGAACACAUAAUUAAGAACAAGUUAAAUAUUUAUCAUACGAUUCAGAAAAUAAUAACAAGAUUCAUCUUAGGUUUCAUUCCCCUUAGGUAUUUAGGGGUUUUAGUUCAUAACUAAAUAAGAAAACAUCUCAGAAGAAUAAAGAAUACAAAACAUAAAGAAAACUCAAAACUCCUGAAGGGAAAUUGACGAGAGAUCUUAAGUCUUGAUGAUGAAUCUUGGCUUCCGAGAUGGAUCAAUCGGCUUCCUUGGAGUAAUUUUUUACCCCUUAUUCUCCUUCCCCAUUUUUCUCUUCUUCUAGAGUGUAUUUAUAAGUUUUGGAAUGCCUAGAGGCCCUCAAAAGGGGCUUUUUCUGAAUUGGACUAAACUUAGGCUCAGCAGGGACACGUCCGUAUGCGAUUACUUCAGGUCGUGUUCGAGCCUGUUAGAAUGACACGGGCGUGUGCUAUACUCGUGUGAGUCGUGCUCCAAUUCUGCCAGAUUGACACGGCCGUGUCGUCUUUCCGUGUGAGGAAGUUCAGGCUGUGUUGAUUUUGUACUUUGGUACAUUUUCUCCGUUUUUGGCCCGUUUCUCAUUCCUUUCACUCUUUUAUGCUCUCCUAAGUAUAAAACAUGAAAUUAAAGCAUUAGGAGCAUCGAAUUCACCAAUUCUAAUGAGAAAUCAUCCAUAAAAUGCAUUAAACAUGGGGUAAAAAAUAUGUAUAAUUUACGGUUUAUCAAAUACCCCACACUUAAGCAUUUGCUUAUCAUCCAGCAAAAUUCUCAACUCAUAAUCAAAAUAAAUUCUCCUCAACUUACAAUUCCUAUCGAUAAUAUCUCAAAAUAAUCCAUAGGUAAUCAUACAUUGAGAAUUCAACUAAAAGAACAUAAAAGUUUCAAACAUUCCAAGUUGAAUAUUUAAUCAUGCAAACAUAGGUGUCUCUCUACAUCUAAGUACCUUUGAUUCAGAAUAUCACAGAGUUUCACAUCCUCACUAAAGAUUCACUUAAAUCACUCGAGGCGUUUAAAGACAAUAAAUGAAGCACUCAAUAGUAAAUAAUGAAAAGUCAUUACCAUAGGCUUGCAUGAAAAUUAAAUCUCCACCACUAUAAUUUAAGAUGAUACAUCAAUCAAAAGGUCUUUAGAGGGUUGUAGUGAGCCUUCGUUAGGGGGUGUGGUCACAAGCUGAAAGAAAGUGUUAGAAUCGAGAUUGAAUUGAAAAAUUGCCUAACUAAAAAGGAGUUAAUCUUCACUUGCGUACAACAGAGCUUUUUUUCAGAAUAUGAAAUUACAGAUAUGUAUACAUAGUUUUUUUUUUAAGAACAAGUUAAAAUAAUAUAGACUAACUAUUAAGAACAAAACAUAGCUAGGCAGUCCAUUCAACUUAAAUCUGGAAAAAAAAUAGGGAUUAAUUUAGGGGAUUUCAACAAUAAUGGGUUAAAGGUUAAUAUUAAGGGUAAUACAAAAAAUGGUUUGAUAGGCUCAGGGGGGUUUAUUAGGGGUUAAUCGUGGAGGUAGGCUUUUCAUGGCAUAAGUAGGUUAAUUCUAAGUGCCUUAAUCAUUUUGACAUAUCAAAUCAAAUGGUCUGGUCUUAGCAUGCAUAAUCAAGCAAGUUCUAGAAUAACAGUUCAAUACUGAUACACUUAAAGCAAUAAUAAAAGUGAGCAUGAAAGAAUUAAUAGAUGCUCAAAAGGCUCAAAAAUCUCACAAUAAAUUAUGACUUUUUGAUGUUUAGACUCGUGAAUUCUAAUUCAAAGUAAUACUUAGACUUGGGGAAAAAACCUAUAAUUUUAAAUUCUUAAAAAUCAACUUAUCAUGCUUGAUUCUCUAAAACCUUAAAGUUUAAAAAAUCAAUGCAUAAAUCGCUAUGUUUUAAUUCAAGAUGUAUCAAUCAAAAUCAUAAAUUAAUUAAAAUUUAUCCUAAAUAUAAUAUGAGAGUUUUUCAAGAGAACAAGAUUAUUCAGGGAUUUUUCUGAUAAUGAAAUAAAUACCCCCACACUUAAGAUGUACAUUGCCCUCAAUGUACAAAGAUAGAUAUUAGAGUAUAAAAAUAAGAUGGGGAGAGAAAUGAAACUUCUUGCAUGAUGAAUUCCUCGAACUAGAGUUUUGGAGAGUGAUCGGUUCGAGAGUGAAGGAUACUCCAGCGAUCAUAGAGGUUCAUUAGGCUAUAAGUCUUGCACCAAAAGAAUAUUAUAUCUAGUGGUGGCUAUGGUCGUGGUCGAGCAGGACAUGGCAGUCGUAGAGAACCUUUCCUGGUGGAGUUUUAGUUCCUAUGUGAUGAUGAGCUUAAGAGCUCUAUAUAACUGUGAUAAAAUCAUGAACUUUUUAGGGGAUUUUAAGAAGAGUAAGUACUCGAAAAGAAAUAACCGAAAUUAAUACUUAAAACUAAAAUUCUAAAAUCUAACAAAAAUAAAAAAGUAGUUUCAAUAAAAAUUAAAAACACAACAAUAAAUAAAUAUUUCUAAACGUCUUCAUCGCUGGAUGGUUCGCGAGGUGGGACUGGCGAUGAGCUGUGGAGGUGCUGACAAAUCUGCUGUAGAGUAGCAUUAAUGUUGUCAAAUCAUUGAAAACACUGCUGCUCGAAUCGGGUGAGGCGCUUAAAGAUGUCAGCAUAUGAAGCCGCCGCAUGAACUGGACGAGAGGGUGGUGGCUGAGUCGAUGAGUCCUCAUGCUGUGGGGGGACAUCAUCAGAAAUGUCCUCGUAUGCCUCCUCGGUAGAUUGGGCGAGAUGAUACUGGGGAGGGUAGGUUUCUUGGCGCCUCUCGAUCAUCCUCAUGCUAAGCAUGCUCGAGAUGCAUUGUGGAGACAUCUGGCCGAUGAGGGUGAGGGAUGAUUCUUGGGCCGCGGUGUUGAAGAGCCCGAAGUGUCACGCCAGCCUAGUAACGUAAGGGCCAAUGAAGAUGACCCCCUUCCGAUGCCGCACCGUCUACUGCUGAAUCGCAAGGGUGAUGAAAUAGGCAAGGUCAAUGACUUGCCCUUGCGAUAUGCACCAUAAGAAGACGUCGUGGGUGUUGACGACGUCAGUGCACUCUCGUCUCCUUAUAAUUGUGUGAGCUAAAAUUGCGUGUAAAUAUCUCAGGGAUAGUGGGAGAACUGAUGCCUUAAAACGGCUAGGAUUGUAGGAGGGCGUGCUAGGGGCCAACCUGUGCCAACACUUCAAGGGAGAGACAUGUAUGUGGCGACUGAGAGCAUGUAGUUCAUUCUCCUCUUGAAACUCCUUCGUAUAUAAGCGUAGAGUAGCACCGAACUCUGGAUGCUUAGCUGGCGGAUUAAUCCGCCUAGCCAAAACUGGACUAUGCCAGGAUCAUCAUACCUUGUCAUUACAGUCUAGAGAUGGAAUGUUGAGCACAGUUUCAUCGUGAGCUCGAGGUAUGUCGACUCGAUAAUCUCGAAGAACAGCUCUCAAGGGUCGAUGGUUAGGAGAGUCGAAUCGCGUCAGUCAUCUGGACUUAUUCUACAGCAGCCCAGUUGAUGCAGCAGCCUGUAAUUAAGGGUCGAGCUCGAAGUUUUUGGAACAGUUCUUCCUGGGGCCCUCGGGGAAACUGUAGGAGAGGGUUAGUGAGUGGUCAAAGUGAAAGGAAUACAAUAUCCAAUUAAAAAACACUUUUAGCCACAACCAAACAUAACUAAUAUAAUAAUUUCGUGACUUUGUCAUCGUAUGUAGUAAUGGCGUGUGUAAAAGAAUGAAGCUUUCCUAGCAACAUGAAAUGUAUAAGACAUAAUUGAAUAAUGCAAAUUACAUGAGAGAUAUUGGCAUGGGAAUAUCAUGAGAAUGAGCAUGGUAAAUUCAUGGGUAUGAAGUUUCUUAAUAACUUUUUUUAACAUGCAAUGUAUAAUAACUAACUAAAAAUGCAAACUAAAUGAUAAAGUAAUGAACAAAAAUGGAAGAUAGUUCAAAAGAAAUGGAAACUAUUGUAGUAAUAAGCAUUAGUAAUCAGUAGAAUAGAAGUGAAGAGAGUAAACAAACGCUAAGAGAGAGAGAUUGAGCGUCAAAAACGAAGUUAAAUGCGGCCCACGGGCGUGGCAGGGGGCCAUGUGGAGUUGCAGCUGCUAGGGUUAGGGUUUUUGAAUGGGGAAGAAAGUGAAUAGUGCAGGGUUUUUAUAGAUUUUGGGGCACACGGCCAUGGCACACGCUUGUGUCCCCUAAUUUCAGCCCGUGUGAUUCGCGAAUUUCAAAUUUGGGCGCGUCUAACAUUUAGUACACGCCCGUGUUCCUCGGGCGUGUGGGUUCACACGGCCGUGUUUCAUGGUCAUGUCUAGCUUCGUUUGCGUCUCCUACACUUGUUAUUCUGGCUCUGAAUCGGACGAUUUAUUCAUUCAACUUGUUCCGUAGAGAUCCCUAAGUUAUGUUAUUAUCCCUAUUCAAGACUAAUAACGUCUAAUCCCUAGAUUGAAUAACCGAGACUUUUUUCUAAUUAACAUUUCAGGGUUGCAUUAACUCGAUUUAUGAAUUCCCUUAUUAAGUUUCACCCUAAUUCGGUAAAAUCUUGUCACCCUAUUUCUAGGCGCGUAAUCAACUCCGCUUAAUUAGGACAAAAGUACUCUUAGACAAUGUCUAUUCCUCCUCUGAAUAAGAGCAUGUCUUGGAUCAGUAUCUUGGGAUAUCAAAACAAGAAUUAAGAACACAUAAUUAAGAACAAGUUAAAUAUUUAUCAUAUGAUUCAGAAAAUAAUAACAAGAUUCGUUUUAGGUUUCAUUCCUCUUAGGUAUUUAGGGGUUUUAGUGCAUAACUAAAUAAGAAAACAUCUCAGAAUAAAGAAUACAAAACAUAAAGAAAACCCAAAACUCCUGAAGGGAAAUUGAAGAGAGAUCUUCAGUCUUGAUGAUGAAUCCUGGCUUUCGAGAUGGAUCAAUCGACUUCCUUGGAGUAAUUUCUUACCCCCUCUUCUCCCUCCCUAUUUUUCUCCUCUUUUAGGGUGUAUUUAUAGGCUUUGGAAUGCCUAGAGGCCCUCAAAAGUGGCCUUUUUUGAAUUAGACUUAACUUGGGCUCGGUAGGGACACGCCUGUGUGACACCCCCGUGUGCGAUUACUUCAGGCUGUGUUCGAGACUGUUAGAAUGACACGGGCGUGUGCUAUACCCGUGUGAGUCGUUCUCCAAUUCUGCCAGAUUGACACGGCCGUGUGGUCUAUCCGUGUGAGGAAGUCCAGGUCGUGUUGAUUUCGUACUUUGGCUUAUUUUCUCUGUUUUUGGCCCGUUUCUCGUUCCUUUCGCUCUCCUAUGCUCUCCUAAGUAUAAAACAUGAAAUUAAAGCAUUAGGAGCAUCAAAUUCACCAAUUCUAAUGAGAAAUCAUCCAUAAAAUGCAUUAAACAUGGGGUAAAAAAUAUGUAUAAUUUACGGUUUAUCAACAACCCUCGCUUCCCAUCCCACAUCCACCUCCUGCACCCAAACCCGAGUUUAAAAUUGAGUUGAUGCCCGAGUUUAGGGGGAGUUUUUAUCAUCCAGACUUGGGGGUCGAUAAUUAUUUCUCGGGCUUGUUAGGCCACUGAUAUCAUUCAGAGUUUUCUGAAUCUAGUUCUAAUUAUCCGGAUCUAAGGUCAUCAAUAAUGUUUGAUAACUUCAGCCUAUUACCAUCGCAGUACUCCACUCCUCUCUACCCAUUACCGCCUCAGUACUCCACUCCUCUCGGGAAAAUGUUUGGGUCAUACAGUUUUUCUACAGUAUCCUUACAAUUGAUUUCCAAUGGUUUUCCCCUAGAUUGCUUGUGAAUCUACUUAAACUGUUCACAUAUGCAUAUUUAUCAGUUCAUCUGUCUUAAUAUGUACUUUUCAUGAGUAUGCUCAAUGUGUCAUUCAAUGAUUGUUUAACAUUUUGUUUAACAAUCGAUAAUCCUAUCGUCAAGCAUUAAAUCACACCAAAAUAGGGAGUUCCCCAAAACCCCUCCAAACACAUCAAAUGUGGACUUAAUACCAUAAAUAUUUCUUUGGUGCAGAUAAAAUUUUCCGUUUGGCUGAGGAUCCACAACCGCUCGCAGUUAAAAGAUGUCAGAGGGAUCGUGGACGCCCAAUAACAAUAAUAUUGCAGUUGGAAUCAUCCAUUUUGUUGGUACAUAGUAAGACCAUUGUAGUUGGAAUCUGCUGAAGUUGUAAGUACAUAACCAACAUUCAUUGUAGUCAUAACCACUCGUAGAUAAUAGUUGUUAGAAAGAUCGUGCAGUACAGUAGGAUUGCAGUUGGAAUAUGUUGUUCUUUGGGUACACAGUUAAUCACUUGUUCAUGCAAUCAAUCCGAGCUGUCAUUCUUCCUCCUUUCAUAUCGUCCCCCCAUGCAUAUACAAUGCAAUCAUUCUUUAAUACAUUCAUUCAUUGAAUCAUUAAUACUUUCAACAUUCUAUUUCAUUGCAUAAUAGCAACCUUUACGGAUAUAUCCAUCAAUAAAUAGUUCAAUCAUUUAGGCAUACGAGACGUUCAUUCAACAUUUAUAACAUUGAUAAAUAUAAAAUCAUUCAUGGAUCAAGCAAUCAAUCAAAAGCACUUAAGAUCAUAAAUUCAUUUAUUCAUAUAUUCAAUCAUUCUAAUCCUAGUCCAGGACCUAAUUGUAUAAUCUAGUUCUCUAAAUGCCAUUAAAAACCUAUUCAGGGACUAAUUUGCAUAAAAUAAUAAAAGAUAAAACUAAAAAUUUUAAGCUUCAGGGGCCACAUGGCUAUGUGACUAGCCCGUAUGUAAAACCCUAGGUCAUGUGCGAUACAUAGGGGUGAAGGUGCAUGAAACACACGAUCAUGUGCAAAGCGUAAGGAUAAAGGUGCAAUAGUCACACUGUCAUAUGUCCAGGCCAUGUGCGAGGCUCCAAGCCAUGUGAAAAACAUGGAUGCAAGGGAAAACAAGGUAACAUGGUUGUGUAAAGGACCGUGAACCCACAUAGGUGGGCCACGCACCCGUGUGGUAAACCAUGUAUACCUAGGCCAUUUCAAAUUUUGACUCAAGUUUUCGUAAAAAAACACACACACUUGACUCUUUCAAGGUAUUGGGCAACUACCCUACAUUCAAGCUCGAUCCAAUCACCUACAAGGGUCUUUCAAUUGAUAAAAUACAAGAAUUAAGAACGAAUUUUGAAUAUUUGUGGAUAUUUUCGGCAAAAAUAUUAAUGAUUUAUAAUCAGAUUGAAAGAUUUAUCAAAACUCAAUAUCUUCUAGAAUUGAAAGGUCCUAAUUAACAGGGAGCGAGGUACUUCCUAUAUUGAUAGAAACUUAAUGAUUUAACGACUCGGAAUUCAACAAUUUGGAGAAGAACAAUUGAUAAGGACUUAAUUGCAAAGAUUCAAGAAUUCAAAGAAAGUUUCUAGUAGCAAGGGCUUGAGAAUAAGAUUGUAAUAGUUUUUGAGAGAAAACUAGAUUAUAAAUAGAGAGAGUUAGGGAUUCAAUUUGAUAAAAUAACAAAUAAGGAAUUUUAGUAGAAUUAGGAAAGGACUUAAAGAGUUUUGAGGACUAAUGGGAAAAUAACCCAUUUGUCUAAAAAUCAUCAAAAAUAAGAUAAACUAGGGUGUAUAGAACUUUGGUAGUGAGGAGAAAAUUAGGAAAGCCUUAACUAUUGGGCUAGUGCCCACAUUUAUUCUCAAAACACACAAAUAAAUACAUAAACCAUAUUAUCUAGGUUCUAAAUGUGCAGAAAAAUUAAAAAGAUAAAAUCAAGUUUAUAAGACUUGAAUCUAAGUUCUUAAGACUUCCUAUUAGGCUUCUAACCAACAAUGCUAUGUUUUAAUUCUUAAGAAUUCUAACCCUUAAUUUUUUGGAAUGUUACAAUCCAUAUUUAGAAAUGCAUAAAAUUUAAAAGUGUUUUAUCAAUAUUUCACAAUUGUUUUAAAAAUAAAAAUCUAUUUUACUUAUUUUUGUUCAAAAAUAAUUAAAAUGAUAGAAACAUUAAAAAAUUAUAAUUCUAGAACUGUUGAAUAAGUUAAUUUUAUUUUUAAUAAAAUCUAUUAAAUAUUUUUAAUUAUUAACAAUUUUAUAAAAUAUAUGUAGGGAUAAAAAAACUAAUGUGUGUAUAUGCAUAUAUAAAGACAAAGUUAAAUAUCCUUAAAUUGUGCAAACAAAAUGUGUUUCACCCCCAUCAAAGCAGCCCAUCCAUCAUGCUUCUUUCAUGCUCACUACACUUCCUCACCUUUCACGUUAACACAAUUUCAUACACAUUGUGCUCGUGUUCAGAAUUUUUACGUAUUUAUAACUUGCUGAUUUUAUAGAGGCAAUUCCGAUGCUUAGUGGAGUUUUUGGGGUUUCACUUGAAUGCUUAUCAGAAUAUAUGUAUAUCGGAAAUGAUCUAAUUAUAUCAGUGUACAAUUUAAAUAAUUUUAUAUCUUUUCGAAAUUUUUUAUAUGAUUAAUAAUUAAUAAUUAAGCAAUUUAACUGUCUUUCAUGCUCUAUUCACAUAGAUCAAACAUGUUAAGUCUAUUGUAAAUUAAAAAUUUAUAACUAUUCGUUUUAUAUUAAAAAAAAACUUCCAACUAUUAAAUAUAUAAUAAUAUAAAUAAUAUUUUAGUGGCUUAUUACUAUUUUUGCCCCUAUACUAUAGUAAAAUUCUCACUUUUACCCUUUUACUAUUUUUCAGUUACUUUACCUCCCUCAACUUUCAUUUCAUCACUCAACUUACUUUUUUAAUAGUUUUCACUAAAAAAAUAAACCAACCAAUGACACGCGGCCACAUGUAAAAAAUAAAUAAAAGUUCAAAUUAAAAAAUAUUGUUAAAAUAAGAAAAUCAUAAAAAUCCCAAAAAGAAUAUGAAAACUUAGAAAUUUAAAAAAAAAUAAAAAAUCAUUAAAAUUAAAAAAACCCAAAAACUACAAAAAAAUCUUAAUUUUUUUCGAAUUCACUUAAAUUUUUUAAAAAUAUAAAAAAACUAAAACUAAUUAAAAUUCCCAAAAAAUAAUAAAAAUUUUAAAAAAACCCAAAAAAAACUUAAAAUUUAAAAAAAAAACUAAUCUGUUUAAAAUUCACUUAAAAUUUUAAAAACUAAAAAAAUCAUUAAAUUUCCCAAAAAAAUCAUAAAAAUUUAUAUAAAAAGGCCCAAAAAUCUAUAAAAUAAAAAAAAUAAAAACUUAAUCUAUUUUUGAAAAUUAUUUAAAAAAAUUAACUUAUAAGUAUGCAAGACUUCAAAAAAAAUUAAAAAUUCAUAAAACUUAAAAAUUAAUUAUUUGGAAUUUAUGAUUUUUAGAAAAUUUUAUAAUAUUUUUACUUAAAAAAUCAAAUUUCUUUAAAAAUAUAAAAAAAAACACAUAAAAUGCAAUAAAAAACCAUAAAAUUUCCCAAAAUAUAUUCCAUGAAAUCAUUUAAAAUUUUAAUAAAAUUCUAAAAAUUUCUGAAAACUUAAAAUUAAAAAAAUGCAAUUCUUUUUUUUUAAUUUAAUGGAAAUUUUUGGACGCUUCGUAUACUUAUAAAUUUUUAAAAAAUAUAUUUUUAUGAUUUUUUUUAUUUUUAAUGAUUUCUAAUUUUCAAGUGAAUCUUUAAUUUUUUACACAUGGAAGCAUGUCAUUGGUUGGUUUAUUUUUUCAACGAAAACUUUUAAAAGAGUUAAACUGAGUGACAGAAUUAAAAUAAAGGGCCAAACUAACCAAAAAAAUAGUAAAAUGGCCCAAGUGAGAAUUUCACUAUAAUAUGGGGGGAAAUGGUAUUAAGCCUAUUUUAAAUUAAUAUGAUAGAAAUAUCAGAUUGAUUAAAAAGUUUACAUGUACAACAAGUACAAAUAUCUUAAUUAAUCCAACAGUUAAGUUUUUAAAAUAUUAAUCAUAUAAGAAGUUACGAAAGGGUAUAAAACUACUUAAGAUUUACACAAGUGUAAUUGGAUGCCUACGUGUAUAUAUAUAUGCUAGUUCUCAUUUUAUGUGUGUUGCAUGUGAUUUUACAUUUUUAGUUUUAAAAUUUUAUUAAAUAAUAUUUUUUAUAAUUUUUGAAAAAAAAUAUUUACUAAGUAAAUGAGAAUUUAUCUAAUUUAUAAUAAAAGUUGAUUAAUUUUGAAAAAUAAUUGAAAGAAUAAAAUAACGUCUUAAAAGUAAUGAAAAUAUAAAAUAAAAUAAAAAAGUAGAAAACAUCUAAUGGCAAAAUAUUAAGUAAUUAGAUCAAAUAACUUGUUAUUUGAAUAUGAGUUCAAAUUUCAUUUACAAAGAACUAUUACUUUAAUACUUCAUUUCUUUUGAUAUAAUAUCUCACAACAUAAUGAUAAACAACAUUCACAAUUAUGUAAAUAUUAUUAAAAUCAAAUAAUAAUAAUAAAACUAUUGAAUAUCAAAUAAUAAUAAGUAAACAUCUCAAAUAAUAAUGAAAAUUGUAUUAUUUUUUUUAGAAACAAAACCUUUUAAAUAAUGUUAAAAUAUGAUUCUUUUAGUAAUUUUUUAGAUGUUAUUUUAAAUGGAAAUGUUUUGCUAAGGCAUAUAUUUAUAGUGUUAAAUAUUAGUUUUAAUUGGUAUAUAACUAUAACACUAAUUAUGUCACAUCCCAGAAAUGGGAUUAGAAGAAUUGAGUUUAUAGUUUAUUAAUUGACUGGAUUUAAGCCUGAAUACACAUGAUUGUUAAAGUGUGUUAAUGUAUGUUUUAGUGGAACUAAGCAUGAUUUGUAUGAUCUAUGUAUGAUAUACAGUAUGUUAGAAUAGGAAAAUUUGACAUGAAAACACGAAAUAGUAUGUAUAGGUGUCAAUAUGUCAUAUGUAGGUUGGGCAUGUUUUGUUAACCUUACAAUUAGGUCCUAAUUUUAUGCUAUACAAUUUAAGUCCCUAAAUGCUAUGAAAUGACUUGAAAUUUUGUAUGAUUAAAUCUUAUUUGGAUAAUUCCAUAAUUUUACUCUUGAUUUUACAAAAAGGUUUUACUAAAAUAUUUUACUAAAAUUAUGAUUUAGUCUUUAGACUUUGCUUUAAAAAUUAAAUGAGUUUUACUUAUCAGUUCUAGAAUUUUCUUUCAAUUAUAGCCCUUAUUAAAUUGUUUUAUAUUGUACAAAUGAUUUAAUUGUUGAAUUACAAAUUUUACUUAUAUCGUAUGUUAAAUAAGAAAUGAAUAUUAGGCUUGAUUAUUUCCGUGUAUCUAAGUCAUUUUAUUAGAGUUUAAUAAGGGUGAAAUGAAUUAAAAUAUUAAUAUUGAGACUUGACUAUGAGUAUUAAUUGUUAUAUAUAAACUAAAAUGGAAUGUGCUAAGAACUAUAAGUUAAAUAAGUUAAUAAAAAAUUGAAUAAAUGUGUAAGUUAAUAAAGAAUAUGUAAGUUGAGCCCGAAUUAAAUAUAUAAAGUUAAGAAAUAAGAUUAAAUAAGAAGUAGGUUUUAGGUUUAAUGGUUAAAUGUUAGCUUUCCUUCUUACAGAGCUUAAGUACAAAUCUUACUCUUUCCAUUUUUUUUCCUUUUUAUUUUCAGCAACCUAAGAUAAAAACCACACUAAAAUAAAUAUUGUUAGGGGUAAAAAUUAAACAAAAAAUAGGUUUAAGCUAAAUGGUUAGCAUGUUAAAAUCCUUUUUGGAGGUCCUAGGUUCAAGUCUCUCCUUCCCUUUUAAUUUUGAUAUUUCACCAAAAUGCCCCAAAAACAUAUCAAUAUAAUUAAGCGUAAGAAAUAAAUAAGAAAUAGACGAUAACCAAUUGUUAAAGCAUUAGUUUCCCCCUUGUGAACUUAAGUUUAAGCCUCCAUCUUUUUUCAUUUCAAUUUCAAAUCUCGACAAAAUCUUGAGAAAAUUACAAGUGGCGCCCCUAUGGUUUACAAACUUCUUUUCUAAUUAGAAUUUACAACUUGCUCCUUCUUAUUUUCUUUUUAUCUUCUUUUUACUAAUUAGAUUUUCAUAUUAUCCCUUUUCAAAUCCUAAUAGAAUUUGCUUUCCAUCUUUCUAUUUAUUCUCUUUUUAUUUUCUUCCAUUUUCUUUACACCAUAUUUUCAUCCUAAAUGUUGAACACUUUGCUACCCUGAAUCAAAUCAUUCCCCGUUCAAUCAUUUUCUAUCGGAGUUUAGAUUUGUCAUCAAUAAACAUUCAUUAUCUUUGUCAAGAAUCAGUAAGUACAUCUCGUUUCUGAUGUUUAAAUCCUAAAUUUUUGUAGAAUUUCUAUCUAACAUUCAUCUUUCAAUUCAAUUACUCAAUCUUUUUCGGUUCUUGCUGAAUCCUUCGACAAUCUUGACGAAUUUUGAAAUCAAUCGUUAAAUCGUGUAUAAAUGUUGUUUAAAUGACCUGUUUUAGGUGUGUCAAAUCAAAUUUGAUUGCAAGGGACGUUGUUCGAACUUUUGGUGAAAGGUGUAUGUUCUUUUACAAGUGAAUUGAGGCAAACCGAGUCUAGGAAUAGGACCACACAACCCCCCCACACGACCAUGUGCCUAGCAAAACCUAGGCUAGUUCAUGAACCACAAGGCAAGACCCUUCCACACAGCCAGGCCAUACAUCAUGUGACCUCUGUUUUACAGUUUUACUUAGAAAUUUAUGUUAUUUGUAGUUUAUUCCUUAAACAUUCUCAAAAUUAUUUUUAGUGUUUUAUUUUACUCAAUUGAGUCCUUGACAAGGUGAAUAAUAUUAGAAUCCAUGACCUAAUUGAUUGAAUUAUUAUAUAUAUGCAUGAUAUGUGAAUAAUAUAUGUCCGUUGCAUCUUUAUUUUUUAUUGUACUUUCAACAUGCCUCACAAUAUUGUCAAGUCGUAUCCAUGAAAAGCACAUGUUUUGCUACUAUACUAUUAGUUAAAAGCAUAUAUAUUUUUGUCAUAUUGAUCUAUAUAAGCAUUUUAUUCGUUACAAUUUUGAUCUGUCAUAAGCAUGUCAUAUUGCACUGCAUGGGGUGGGACGCUUUGAAAGGAGAAAGUUUAGACAAAUUAAUAAUCUGCAACUCUGGUGGUUCAUCCACAAAUUAUCUGGUAGCUUUUAUAUGCAAAAAUGUUGUGCAUUUACAACCAUCUGGUAGCGUAUUGACCUGCAACAUUGGUGGUUCAUCCACCCAUUUUUUGGCAGCUUUUAUUUGCAAUUAUGUUGUGUAUCCACAACCAUCUGGCAACAUAUUAACUUGCAACAAUGGUGGUUCAUCCACCCACAUUUUGGUCGCUCUCAUCUGCAAUUAUGUUGUGCACUCACAACCAUUUGCCAGCGUAUUGACCUGUAACUUUUGUGGCUUAUCCAUAACCCAACGUGUAAGGAUGGACGAGUUUUAGGGAACUCUUACUAUAGUGUGCAACAAUGGGGUAAUAUCUUUUCUGUUAAACUGAAACAUGUAUUGCAUUCAUAAAGAAUGUGCAUACAAUUCUGAGAUGAUACAUAUACAUAUACAUAUACAUUGUUGAGUUGAUAUGAUAUACCGAUAUUCUAAAACUACUAUUGUGGAUUAUUCUAUGUGAUGUGAUUUUGCAUGCUAAUUGGUUGCACUGAUUUUUUUAUAAUGGAACCCACAUUAAGCUUCAUAGCUCACUCCCCUUUUAUUUCCAUUUUUAUAGAUAACCUACUAGGUUUGAAUGCGGACACGACAUCCAGAGGGUCUCAGCUUGGUUUUAAUUUAUUAAAAUAUUUUAGAUUUAUUAUUCGAUAUUUUUACAUUUUAGAGAUUGUACCGUUUUAUUUUGGAACUAUGGCAUGAGAUUUAUGAUUUGUUUUUUUAUAGCCUACAUGACUUUUAAUUUAAUCUUAGGAUAUCAAAAUAUGAAUUUUAUUUAUUUUUGUAUGAAAUAUAAUUUUUAUUUAAAUUAAAU
rnacentral:lncRNA from 1 species